rnacentral:rRNA from 1 species
AACGAACGCUGGCGACAUGCCUAACACAUGCAAGUCGAACGAGACCUUCGGGUCUAGUGGCGCACGGGUGCGUAACGCGUGGGAACCUGCCCUUAGGUUCGGAAUAACUCCCCGAAAGGGGUGCUAAUACCGGAUAAUGUCUUCGGACCAAAGAUUUAUCGCCUUUGGAUGGGCCCGCGUUGGAUUAGCUAGUUGGUAGGGUAAAAGCCUACCAAGGCGACGAUCCAUAGCUGGUCUGAGAGGAUGAUCAGCCACACUGGGACUGAGACACGGCCCAGUCUCCUACGGGAGGCAGCAGUGGGGAAUAUUGGACAAUGGGCGAAAGCCUGAUCCAGCAAUGCCGCGUGAGUGAUGAAGGCCUUAGGGUUGUAAAGCUCUUUUACCCGGGAUGAUAAUGACAGUACCGGGAGAAUAAGCUCCGGCUAACUCCGUG